UGUUUUUGUAUAAUUACGUUUGUUUGUGUAUGUGUUUUUGUGUGUGUGUGUUUGUAGUUUAAUAUGUGUGUUUGUGUAUGUAAUAUAUUUGUUAAGGUGUGUGUGUGUGCGUGUAUCUAUUCUUAUGUGUGUGUGAAUGGGGGGUUUAUGUAUGUGUAUGUUUUUUGUGUUUGUUUAAGUGUAUGUGUGUUUGUUUGUGUCUUUGAGAGUGUUUGUGUGUAUGUGUCUUUGUGUGCGUAAUAUGUGUGGGUGGGUGGGUGUUAGUGUGUAUAUGUUUAUACGGUUGUGCGUGUGUGUCUGUUUAUGUGUUUAAUACAUGUGUUUGUCAGAAUGUUUGUGUGUUUUUGUGUUUGUGUGUGUCCAUGUGUGUGUGUGUCGGUUUGUGUGUGUGUUUGUGUGGGUGCGUGUGUGUUUGUUUGGGCGUGAAUUAGUGUGUGCAUUUUUAUUUGUGUUUGUAUGUGUUUGUUUUUGUAUUUGUAUGUGUGUGUGUGUGAUUUUAUGUUUUAAUGUUUGAGAGAUAGAGAGAACGAGAAAAAGAGAGAGUGUGUGUGUCUAUUGUUUGUGUAUGUGAAGUGUGUAUUUGUGUUUGCGUGUGUUUAUGUGGGUGAUAUGUGUGUGUAGGUGAAUGGAACUGUAAGUAUAGGUUUGUGUAUGUGUGUGUAAUAUAUGUGUGCGUAAUAUCUGUGUGUGUUUGUUUGUAUGUGUUUGUGGUGGUAGGUGUGUAUGUGUUUGUGUGUGCAUUCAUGUGUGUAUGUGUAUGUGUGUUUGUGUGUGCAUUCAUGUGUGUAUGUGUAUGUGUGUUUGUGUGUGUGUGUGUGUUGUUGUAUGUGAAUGUGUGUUUGUGCUCUCUUGUUUGUGUGAGAGUGUGUCUGUGUUUGUGUGGGUAAUAUGCGUGUGUGUGGGUGUAUCUGUGUUUAUACAGUUACGAGUGUUUAUGAAUAUGUUAGUGUAAUAUGUGUGUUUGUGUAUGUAUGAGUGUGUGUGUGUGUGUGUGUGUGCGUGUGUGUGAUGUGUGUGUGUGUGAUGUGUGUGUGUGUGUGUUUAUGUGGGUGAUAUGUGUGUGUGGGUAUAAGUUUGUUUGUGUGUGUGUGUAAUAUAUGUGUUUGUGUGGGUGGGUGGGUUUGUGUGUUUGUGUGUGUGUAUGUAAUAUGUGCGUGUGUGUGUCUAUGUUUGUGUGUGUGUGUGUUUGUAUGUGUGUCUAUGUUUGUGUGUGUGUGUGUUUGUGUGUGUGUGUAUGUAUGCAUGCGUGUUUGUGUUUGUGUGGGUAAUAUGUGUGUAUGUGAGUGCGUAUGUGUCUAUGUUUAUACAGUUACGUGUGUUUGUGUAUGUGUUUUUGUGUGUGAGAGUGUGUGUGUGUGUGUGUGUUUGUUUGUGUGUGUACUUUGUGUGUUUGUGUAUGUAAUAUAUAUGUGUUAAUGUGUAUAUAUGUGUGGAUGGGUUUUUGUGUGUAUACGUGUGUGUGUGUGUUUUUUUUUGUUUGUGAGUCUGUGUGUGUGUUUGUGAUUGGGAGUGUUUGUAUGUGAGUGUUUAUGUGGGUGAUAUGUGUGUUUGGGCGAAUAGGAGUGUGGGUAUAAGUUUGUAUGUGGGUGGGUGGGUGUGUGUAAUAUAUGUGUGUUUGUGGAGGUGUGUGUGUUUGUGUUUGUGUGUUUAUGUGUAUGUGUGUGUGUGAAUGUGUGUUUAUGUGUGCAUGUUUGUGUGUGUGUAUGUGUGUGUGUGUGUUUGUGUGGGUAAUAUGUGUGUGUAAGUGUGUUUGUGUUUGUGUUUAUACAGUUACGUGUGUUUGUGUAUGUGUUUUUGUGUGUUUGUGUGUGUGAGAGUCUGUGUGUGUCUGUGUGUUUGUGUAUGUAUGAGUCUCUUUGUGUGUGUGUGUUAAUGUGAUUGUGUGUGUGAUGUGUGUGCGUGUGUCUGUGUGUGUUUAUGUGUUUAUUUUUGUGGUAUGUGUGUGGGGGUAUAAGUUUGUAUGUAUGUAG
rnacentral:lncRNA from 1 species